rnacentral:rRNA from 1 species
UACGAAGGGGGCUAGCGUUGCUCGGAAUCACUGGGCGUAAAGCGCACGUAGGCGGAUUGCUAAGUCAGGGGUGAAAUCCUGGAGCUCAACUCCAGAACUGCCUUUGAUACUGGCGACCUUGAGUCCGGGAGAGGUGAGUGGAACUGCGAGUGUAGAGGUGAAAUUCGUAGAUAUUCGCAAGAACACCAGUGGCGAAGGCGGCUCACUGGCCCGGUACUGACGCUGAGGUGCGAAAGCGUGGGGAGCA